CCCUUAGACGUUCUGGGCCGCACGCGCGCUACACUGACGAAGGCAACGAGCUUUCCUUUACCGAAAGGUACGGGUAAUCUUUUGAAACUUCGUCGUGCUGGGGAUAGAUCCUUGCAAUUAUUGAUCUUAAACGAGGAAUUCCUAGUAAGCGCAAGUCAUCAACUUACGUUGAUUACGUCCCUGCCCUUUGUACACACCGCCCGUCGCUACUACCGAUUGAAUGGUUUAGUGAGGCCUUCGGAUCCGCGACUCGUUUUGUGGAGAAGUUGGACAAACUCAGUCAUUUAGAGGAAGUAAAAGUCGUAACA
rnacentral:rRNA from 1 species